AUGCACAUUUCAUUGACCUGCCCUCUUCGCAAGUGGUGAGCAGUGUUAUUUCUGAUGUGCUAAACAAACAGUUGAAGGCUAAUUAACAGCAUUGCUACAUAUAGCUACUGUUGUCAGUCUCCUUCAGACAAAU
ensembl:snoRNA small nucleolar RNA, H/ACA box 19